AGCGAACGCUGGCGGCAGGCCUAACACAUGCAAGUCGAACGAACUCUUCGGAGUUAGUGGCGGACGGGUGAGUAACACGUGGGAACGUGCCUUUUGGUUCGGAAUAACUCAGGGAAACUUGUGCUAAUACCGAAUGUGCCCUUCGGGGGAAAGAUUUGUCGCAAUUAGAGCGGCCCGCGUCUGAUUAGCUUGUGGGUGAGGUAACGGCUCACCAAGGCGACGAUCAGUAGCUGGUCUGAGAGGAUGACCAGCCACACUGGGACUGAGACACGGCCCAGACUCCUACGGGAGGCAGCAGUGGGGAAUCUUGUGCAAUGGGCUAAAUCCUGACGCAGCCAUGCCGCGUGAAUGAUGAAGGUCUUAGGAUUGUAAAAUUCUUUCACCGGGGACGAUAAUGACGGUACCCGGAGAAGAAGCCCCGGCUAACUUCGUG
rnacentral:rRNA from 1 species